AGGGAAGAGGGGAGGGAAGGAGAAGGGGGAGGAGGGCCCGGGCGACUGGGGGCAGGGGGAGGGGUGCACCGCGCGGGCACUCCUCCAGUCCCCGCCCCUCUUCCCCUGCGGGAUCCUCCCUUCUUGCUUGUUUCUCCAACCUAGGUCCCCCAAAGUUUUUUCUGGUGUGAGAUUGGACAUUCGCUUUCCCUCAGGAAUUAGCUGUCCUGGGAGAGUCUGUAGUCCCUAAAAAGGAAGCUGGAAAGAGGUCACCAAAUUAUUUUGGAAGCCUCUAUCUACGGGGGUCUCCAUUUUCUUUGCAGUCAGGCCCAGGGCAGAGAGAAGCCGGCGUCCACAGCGAAGGAUGGCUGGUGAGGCUGGUGAUGAAAUCCACACUCAUCUGGCGCACAGAUGACCAGUUUAUCAGCUUUAAGAGCCAAUAGCGCCACAUCUUGACAACUUAAUGGAGGGUGAUAUUGAAAAAUGACAAUUUAUAGUCACCAAACAUCAAGACAUAUUCAUCAGUCUCUCAAGCUGUGCCUGAAGGCUCUUCUCCACGCUGCCACUUCUGGUUGCUUCAGUGUACACAGUGCCUCCAGGAAUCAGGAGCCAGGGAAUGAGGGCACUGUCUGUUUCUGUGUGGGCAUGUACCAAUGGGUGUGAUGCCCUCUGAGACCAGAACAUGGCAUCAGGUCCCCUGAAGCUGAAGCUACAGGUCACCACCUGAUGUGCUACCUGAUGUGCUACCUGAUGUGGGUGCCAGGAAUCAAAUUUCAGUUUUCUGCAAGAACAGAAGGUACCCUUAAUUACCCCAUCUCCCCAGUCCUGUUAAGAGAUGUGUAUUCUUGAUCUACUUCCUGGUUUUCCAAAUUUUUCAACAAUAUGCAUAUAACACAUAAUCAAGAAAAAAUAGGAAAUGUCAUUUUAAUAAGUUCUCCAGAAAGCAAGUCAGUCUUGUUGUUGUUCAUGGCUUUCUGUGUCUGUGUGUAUGUGUGUGUGUGUGUGUGUCUGUGUGUAUGUGUGUCUGUGUGUGUGUGUACCUGUGUGUGUGUCUGUGUGUGUGUGUGUCUGUGUGUGUGUGUCUGUGUGUAUGUGUGUCUGUGUGUGUGUGUCUGUGUGUGUGUGUCUGUGUGUGUGUGUGUGUACACCUCAGUCACUAUCUGCUGAGGGUGAGAAUCUUCUCUCCUUCUGUCCAUAUCUUGAGCAGAGAGAACAUUUUUUGAGAGGGAGCUGAAGUGGUGAGCAGAGGGCUGCCAUGAGACCGGUUUCUGGAACUAAGGGAGAGACAGUGACUGCCCACAAUGUGAAGUAGAGAACAGCAGAUCUGCCAGACAGGGAGCAACCAAGACAGAUCACAGUGAGUCAGGAGGCUCCUUGAUAUAGUUUCAUAUGUUUCCUUAAUAUGGAGUCUCAAAAGUUGCCUAGUCUGACCUCAAAGUCCUGGACCCAAAUGCUCCCUCUGCUUCAGCCCCCCAGGAGCUGGGACUCAGGCGCACGCCAUCAUACUCAGCUUGAGAAUUCUUGAAGAUGAGUUGGCUGAAUACCCAACUGGAUUUGGCUUCACUGAAAGGAGAAUUACAUACCCGGAGAAAAGCUCUGGAGAAAAGCUCAGGAACAGAGUAGUGCAACACAAGCAAUACUUGUUUGUUUGCUUGUUUGUUUUUAAAGGUCAUUAUUGGUUCCAGAGACAACAAAGAUUUAUGUAGAAAAGAAGAAGUCAUACAUUACGUGACUUGAAUAACCAUGUGCAUGUGAACAGUCAUAAGGAAGUUUAUGUUGAAUGUCAUCAAUAUGAUCAAAUGUUAAAGUAACCGAUUUAAGAAGGUAGUAUUGUGUGAGAAGUGGGAGUGAGGAGGCACACAAAAUGUCUCCCAGUGCAGGGCCAGGCUCAGCAGGAAAAUCACAGGUAAGUACAUGCUAUUUGGGAACAUAAAGACUAAACCAGUGAGUGGAAGUGGCUUUCUCUCUGCAGAGCUCGAGGUAAGCAGAGAUUAGGGGUCUGUUUUUGUUUGUUUUUCCUCAGUAACAUAUAUUUUAGAAAAGCCUGACUCAAACUGAAGUUCAUAGCUUUGAUUAAAGUAUAGACAACUUGGGAGCUGGAGAGAUGGCUCAGCAAUUAAGAGUACUGGGCCGAGUUCAGUUUCCAUAGCCAGCUCAACUCAGCUCAUAACUGCCUGUGACUCCAGGUCCAGGUGGUGCCUCCAGCCUUCUCCACUCAUACACAUCCUAUUAUACACACAGAGAGACAGACACAUAAUUAAAAGUAACAAAAUCUUCAAAAAUGAAAUACAAACAACUUGAAGAAAAACAGCCUUUAUCUAUUAUGUUUUCUUCCUUCCUUUUUUUUUUUUUU